GAUGAACGCUGGCGGCGUGCCUAAUACAUGCAAGUCGAGCGAACAGACGAGGAGCUUGCUCCUCUGACGUUAGCGGCGGACGGGUGGGUAACACGUGGAUAACCUACCUAUAAGACUGGGAUAACUUCGGGAAACCGGAGCUAAUACCGGAUAAUAUAUUGAACCGCAUGGUUCAAUAGUGAAAGACGGUUUUGCUGUCACUUAUAGAUGGAUCCGCGCCGCAUUAGCUAGUUGGUAAGGUAACGGCUUACCAAGGCAACGAUGCGUAGCCGACCUGAGAGGGUGAUCGGCCACACUGGAACUGAGCCACGGUCCAGACUCCUACGGGAGGCAGCAGUAGGGAAUCUUCCGCAAUGGGCGAAAGCCUGACGGAGCAACGCCGCGUGAGUGAUGAAGGUCUUCGGAUCGUAAAACUCUGUUAUUAGGGAAGAACAAAUGUGUAAGUAACUAUGCACGUCUUGACGGUACCUAAUCAGAAAGCCACGGCUAACUACGUG
rnacentral:rRNA from 1 species